rnacentral:lncRNA from 1 species
AUGGAAACCAACUUCAAAGGGCUUCUGACUGAUUGCUUCAGUUCCUUCUUUGCCAAGUCCACGCCAGCAGCCAGGUAUACACUUACCUUGCCCAUGUGCCCGUGGGUGCUUCCGGGGGGAGGCUCGGUGUGUCCCAGCCUCUCGAGACCUGCUCAUGGCGCUCACUGCACUCUGCCUGGGCAGGGAGGCACGAGCAGGGUCUGUUCCCCACGCUUCCCACCCUGCCACAGGCCCUUGGCCACCAGGAAGACGGGCUUGAACGGCCGCGCCGCUGUGCUCAAGGAGGGCGGGCAGCAGGAGGCGGGGGAGCAGAAGUGCCCUGCAUGGCUGGCUGGCAAUGGGGUGCCCUCGGGAGCCCGAGCAGCCUCUGCGCCCAACCACACAAGAACUGUGAGGGCGCCCCACCAGGCAGAACUCAGCCAAAGAGCUGGCUCUGAAGUCCUCCUGGCACCCAAACAAUACCUGGGGUCAACAGAGCGGAAACUGUCACCUACAAGGAACCCAGUGAGUACACUGGCGUGUACCGCAAAGUGGGGUAUAAGCCCAUGGGGCUCGAUACCUGCUUCCAGCCCCUUGGCCUCUCUAGUGCUUCUCCCAUCACACUGACCACACUACUGAGGCUUCCACUGCAGUUCAGCGACAGCAACUAGGAAAUUUCUGUGUGUACACAGCACAGACAAGGUUAUACAUCCAAACGCCGUGCACAGAAAAUACAUACUACGUAUCACACAGUGUCCAUAAAGUUGUACAUGUCAGGAGUAAAAGACCAGUACUUCUGAAGCUAAGAGGAGAUUCUUACACAGAAUCCUGGAAGAUCUCUAUCUUCAAAGUGGAGCUAUUUCAAGCAAAAAUCAUACAGAGGAUAAAGCCCGAUUACAGUGGUGCGCCUCAACAGGAACAUUGCAGAGUCUGACCACUAGAGGGCAGCCGUCCAUGGAUACUUGAACUUCCUGGGAGGACAGAAAAGGUUCCGGGCAGAUCUGGAGCAUUUAUCUGGAGAUGAGCAAUCUAAAAAAAUACUUAGCAGUGGCUCUGUUUUUGUUUGCAUAGUAAGACUACUUAUAAAUCAAACCAAAAAGUAACAGAAAAAAGAAACCCUCAACUGAGGGGAAGAAAUGAUUCUAACAUCGCCAGUUACGAAGCUGUCUCAAACCUAGGACUAAUUUGUUUUCAGAAAACUAAAUACUAAUUUAUACUACAAGCUACAAUGCUUAAAGUAAAAAUCUAUUCCAAAAUCAGAAAGGCACAUAAACUAGUGAAAAACGCAGUACUGAGAUGUAACGGUGACCCUGGAAGCCUCCCUUACCGGGUCCACCGAGGUAGGCUGAGAAAUGUUUCUACACACUCUGCCUGGGCUGCCCUGACUCCCUACCUAACACACAUCCAGGGAGCCGCAGGACACGGCCAGUGGGAAGCUACUCCCAAAGCACGUGACUCCAGAAAAAGAAGGUUCAGCAUUAGCCACUCGCUAAUAGGAGCAAAUAUGGGACUACUUCUUUUAUUUAAAAGAUGAGGGCUAGGGGUUUAGCUCAGUGGUUCUGCUGCCUACCCUGCAAGCUGAAGGACCCAAGCUCGAUCCUCAGUACUAAAAGAAAAGAAAAAAUUCCAACAAAUCUUUCCUACUUAGGUCUGUUUAGUUUUAGGUACAAAAACUGUGAAUUCAGCACGGCUCUCCACAAAGAGCACCUUUUUGUUCCUUUUCGGUUGUGCAGAGGUCAACACAUGGCCUGCACAAACUGGGCAAGUGAUCUACAGUGAGCUGCACCUCAGCCCCAACCAUGUGCCUCAGACAGCACCACACAGGCCAGCAGAUCCCGGCCGCACUCAGAACAGACGCAGCAGACGCAGACGCAGAUGCAGGCACAGGCACAAGCACCUGCCCUCAGCCUUCAUGCCCAGCGGGACCCUUGGCCCAUGAGCCUGGCACAUACCUGUGGCCUCUGGGCAACAAAUGGACAACAGCAAGGACGGUCAGAUUCUCUCUAAACCCUGCCCCGGAGUCAGCAGAAAAGGUCUCCAACAGCCCCAAACCUAACCUCAAGCGUUUCCUGUCCGGAUAUCCCACAGGGAAGAGCACCUGAAAAGAGAAAACUUCACUGCUACUACAGCGACCCCAGGUGCGAAGACCCCACAGAAGAACUAAUGAGCCGAAGGCAGGCUCCACCCCAAGGGCGUGCCACCUGCCACUGUGCCUACCCCUCCCCUGCCAGGCCAGUGAUGAGGCGC